AACGAACGCUGGCGGCAGGCCUAACACAUGCAAGUCGAACGCCCGCAAGGGGAGUGGCAGACGGGUGAGUAACGCGUGGGAACGUGCCCUUCGGUUCGGAAUAACUCAGGGAAACUUGAGCUAAUACCGGAUACGUCCGUAAGGAGAAAGAUUUAUCGCCGAAGGAUCGGCCCGCGUCGGAUUAGCUAGUUGGUGAGGUAACGGCCCACCAAGGCGACGAUCCGUAGCUGGUCUGAGAGGAUGAUCAGCCACACUGGGACUGAGACACGGCCCAGACUCCUACGGGAGGCAGCAGUGGGGAAUAUUGGACAAUGGGCGAAAGCCUGAUCCAGCCAUGCCGCGUGAGUGAAGAAGGCCUUAGGGUUGUAAAGCUCUUUCAGCGGGAAGAUAAUGACGGUACCGCAGAAGAAGCCCCGGCUAACUUCGUGCCAGCAGCCGCAGU
rnacentral:rRNA from 1 species